rnacentral:rRNA from 1 species
CGGACGGGUGAGUAAUGUAUGGGGGUCUGCCUGAUGGCGGGGGAUAACUACUGGAAACGGUAGCUAAUACCGCAUAAUGUCUGCGGACCAAAGCGGGGGACCUCCGGGCCUCGCGCCAUCAGAUGAACCCAUAUGGGAUUAGCUUGUAGGUAAGGUAACGGCUUACCUAGGCGACGAUCCCUAGCUGGUCUGAGAGGAUGAUCAGCCACACUGGGACUGAGACACGGCCCAG